rfam:Dipodomys ordii contig_17149, whole genome shotgun sequence.
UGGCUCAGUGGUAGAGUGCUUGCCUGGCAUGCAUGAGGCCCUGGGUUCGAUUCCUCAG